GGGAGUUUAGCUCAGCUGGGAGAGCAUCUGCCUUACAAGCAGAGGGUCAGCAGUUCGAUCCCGUUAACUCCCA
rnacentral:tRNA from 1 species